GGACCAAGGAGUCUAGCAUGUGCGCGAGUCAUUGGGACUCUAACGAAACCUAAAGGCGUAAUGAAAGUGAAGGUCCGCCUAGCGCGGGCCGAGGGAGGAUGGGUGUCCCCGAGGGGACGCCUCGCACUCCCAGGGCGUCUCGUUCUCAUUGCGAGAAGAGGCGCACCAAGAGCGUACACGCUGGGACCCGAAAGAUGGUGAACUAUGCCUGGUCAGGACGAAGUCAGGGGAAACCCUGAUGGAGGUCCGUAGCGAUUCUGACGUGCAAAUCGAUCGUCGGAACUGGGUAUAGGGGCGAAAGACUAAUCGAACCAUCUAGUAGCUGGUUCCCUCCGAAGUUUCCCUCAGGAUAGCUGGCGCUCGCUUCUCGCGAGUCUCAUUCGGUAAAGCGAAUGAUUAGAGGCAUUGGGGUCGAAACGGCCUCAACCUAUUCUCAAACUUUAAAUGGGUGAGAUCUCCGGCUUGCUUGAACUGUGAAGCCGCGAGAUAUCGGAUCAGAGUGCCAAGUGGGCCACUUUUGGUAAGCAGAACUGGCGCUGUGGGAUGAACCAAACGCUGAGUUAAAGCGCCUAAAUCGACGCUUAUGGGAUACCAUGAAAGGCGUUGGUAACUUAAGACAGCAGGACGGUGGCCAUGGAAGUCGGA
rnacentral:rRNA from 2 species